CCUACGGGAGGUAGCAGUGAGGAAUAUUGGUCAAUGGACGAGAGUCUGAACCAGCCAAGUAGCGUGAAGGAUGACUGCCCUAUGGGUUGUAAACUUCUUUUAUAUGGGAAUAAAAUGUUCCACGUGUGGGAUUUUGUAUGUACCAUAUGAAUAAGGAUCGGCUAACUCCGUGCCAGCAGCCGCGGUAAUACGGAGGUUCCGAGCGUUAUCCGGAUUUAUUGGGUUUAAAGGGAGCGUAGGUGGAUUGUUAAGUCAGUUGUGAAAGUUUGCGGCUCAACCGUAAAAUUGCAGUUGAAACUGGCAGUCUUGAGUACAGUAGAGGUGGGCGGAAUUCGUGGUGUAGCGGUGAAAUGCUUAGAUAUCACGAAGAACUCCGAUUGCGAAGGCAGUUCACUGGACUGCAACUGACACUGAGGCUCGAAAGUGUGGGUAUCAAACAGGAUUAGAUACCCUAGUAGUC
rnacentral:rRNA from 1 species